rnacentral:rRNA from 1 species
UACGUUCCCGGGCCUUGUACACACCGCCCGUCACACCACGAAAGUUGGCAAUACCCGAAGCCGGUGGCCUAACCCGUAAGGGAGGGAGCCGUCGAAGGUAGGGUCGAUGAUUGGGGUG